AUUGAACGCUGGCGGCAGGCCUAACACAUGCAAGUCGAACGAGUGGCGGAAGGGUGCGUAAUUCUUUUGAAUCUUGCUUAUGGAGGGGGAUAACUACGGGCAACUGUAGCUAAUACCGCGUACAAUAGGAUGAGCCCAAGUGGGAUUGGGUAGUUGCUAGGGUAAAGGCUCACCAAGCCGUCGAUCCAUAGUGGGUCUGAGAGGAUGCCAGGCCACACUGUGUCGGAGGCAAGGCGCAGACUCCGACGUGAGGCAGCAGUGGAGAAUAUUGCACGAUGGGAGCAACCUGACGUAGCCAUGCGGAGUGAAUGAAGAAGGCCUUCGGGUUGUAAAGUUCUUUCGGUAGCGAGGCGUUAUCUACAGAAGAAGCACCGGCUAACUCCGUGCCAGCAGCCGCGGUAAUAC
rnacentral:rRNA from 1 species